UAGCUCGGUGGCAUGCUAUCUGGUAGUGGAAGGGCCGUCGCUCAACGGAUAAAAGUUACCCCGGGGAUAACAGGCUUAUCUCCCCCAAGAGUUCACAUCGACGGGGAGGUUUGGCACCUCGAUGUCGGCUCAUCGCAUCCUGGAGCUGUAGUCGGUUCCAAGGGUUGGGCUGUUCGCCCAUUAAAGCGGUACGCGAGCUGGGUUCAGAACGUCGUGAGACAGUUUGGUCCCUAUCUGUUGUGGGCGUGGA
rnacentral:rRNA from 1 species